AAACUCAAUUGCAUCUUAAAAC
rnacentral:snRNA from 1 species